UAUGAGAUAACUGUUCUUCAAUGUCAACAUUCUGCAGGUAGAGCCAUCAGCCCUGAGAAGGUGAGUGACAGAUCCAGGCUUACCUAGCUAAUGAGCACUGGAAUGUGCUCAGCCUCUCCAUAGGGUUAUAAGCAGAGGCAGAUAAUCUUCCCAAUCAUCAUAUAAGACUUACAUCAUGGCUCUUUCUGUCCUCCUUAGCCCAACCAAAAAGAUGGACCAUCUGAAAGACUUAAUUAGAAGUACAAUGGUAGAAACAUUUAAGAAAGAAGUAGAGCCCAGCAUGAAUCUCAUGAUCUAUAAGUGUACCUGAAGUCAGAAGACAUCAAUGAAAAAAUCUACCUUUUAUUACUGAUAAUUCAGGAAUCUUGAUAAUUUGGGAAUUCUGCAUCUUUUAGCUACUCUUAUCUCUAAAAUUUGAUUUUUUUUCUCUGAAAUGUAUAACUGAAAUACUUGAAUUGACUUUUUUUAGCAUUUAUCAUAAUAUUUAGUCAUAAUGAAGAAAUUCUGCCCUAAGGAAACGGCAAUUUUGCAUCAAGUAGAUCAGUUUAGCCAUGAAUUUCUGUACUAAAUGCAGUCCUCAAUAUUGAUCAAAAUAAUGAAAAAAGGAUGAAAUUAAUCCUGAAAUUAUCCUGUAAAACAUUUCUUGCCUUCAAGCUGAUGUUCACACCUUCCAUUCUUGGUAACUCUGGAGUCAGAGGAGAGCUUAACAGAACUAGUGAAUACCAUCCUCAGAAAGGAUCCCCACUAGACUGUCUGCAUUUGGGCACUUUCCAGGGAAGAACUGUGUCUAAACAGCACGAGUGCUAUGCAGCUCUGCCCCCCAUAACCGACUACCACAUGAUGGAUUCCCUCAAGUGCAUUAAUAUGUAUAUGUUUCAGAGAGGAGAUGUUCUUAUUGUAUUCUCUCUUACCCACAAAUUCAAAAUCUAAGAAUAUGUGACAAUAAUUAUUUUAAGUGAGUUUAUUUUUUCUAACCAAUUUAACAUAGUAACUUCAUGUAAAAUAACACUAUUAUCACCAAGUGAUAUAACUACUGAGUAUGAAAAAGAAAGCUAAAAUUACUAAAAUAUCUACCACUGUG
rnacentral:lncRNA from 1 species